rnacentral:tRNA from 1 species
ACUUCUUUAGUAUAACUAGUACAAUUGACUUCCAAUCAAUCAGCUUUGAUAAUACUCAAAAAGAAGUA